UACGGGGGGGGCAAGCGUUGUUCGGAAUUACUGGGCGUAAAGGGCUCGUAGGCGGCCAACUAAGUCGGAUGUGAAAUCCCCAGGCUUAACCUGGGAACUGCAUCCGAUACUGGAUGGCUUGAAUUCGGGAGAGGGAUGCAGAAUUCCAGGUGUAGCGGUGAAAUGCGUAGAUAUUGGGAAGAACACCGAUGGCGAAGGCAGCCAUCUGGACCGACACUGACGCUGAGGCGCGAAAGCGUGGGGAGCAAACAGG
rnacentral:rRNA from 1 species